rnacentral:lncRNA from 1 species
UCGAAUCUCUAUAUAGUCGGGCUCGGGCAGCCCGAGCUAGAGAUGCUGAUGUUGCCAAAAGUUUGAAUUAUCCCAAAGAUAAACCAGAAGCCGCAUUCCUGCAAACACAGAUUGUUAAAGAUGGCAUGGAGAAGAAUGAUGUGUCCGGGAAGAUAAAUGAUGCUGUGGUUGAAAGGAAACAGUCUGAGAAUAAUUCUGCUAGUACUACACAUCCUAAAGGAUGGGAAGUGAUCCCAAAGCCCAAAGGACAUUCACGUCUGGAUUACUCCAGGUGGGAUCAAGUUGAAGAUGAUUCAAGUGAAGAAGAAGAUGAAGAAGAAGAGAUGCAACCCCAGUACCGAUUUCGUGUGAAAACAGCGGGAAUACAGCCUGUGAAAUGAUCGACGAGCAUGAUGAAUUGAUGAGUUGUUAUUUUAUUUAUGUAAUUGUGAAGAGAUCAGGAGGCAAGAGGGGGUGGUGUGAAAAUUGAAAUGUUUAGUCAUUCAUCCAUUCUUUCCUAUGUUUCUUCUUCAUUUCAAAUUUUCAAGGUCAGGUUAUAUUGUUAUAAGUUAUGACUUAUAAAUUUAUUUAAACAAACAUCUCAAUUCUCAAAUGAUUUUAUCUGAUUUGUUUGCAGAGAAAAAUCCAGUCACAGGCUCACAGCACUGUCAGCCCACAGAGGUUUGCGGCGAGGUCUCCACUAGCAGUGUUCUUGCGGAAUCUUUGGAUGGAGGAACGAAAACCGGUGUCUGUGCUCAAAAAAGGAAUGAUGGAAAUUGAUCUACUCUUCAAUACAUCUUCGUUCAAGGCGGCUCACAGGAACAGAUGGAUCAUUGAUCAUUGAUCAAACCGAAGCGGUCCAAAACUUGUAAUCAAUCUCUGAUUACUUAUUUAUUUCAGCAAUGGUUCUACUUGUUAAUUUUAAUUUCACAUGGUUUUAACCAAAGAAAAAGGAAGCAAGAUACCAUGAGCUCAUGCCAUUUUAAUUGUUGUACCUGAAUGAAGUUGUUGCCAAACUGGUUAGUAGUUCUUUCUGACUCUAUUUUCCAGCUGACUUAGCUAAAAUAAUUAUUUGUAGUUUGCAAGAAGUUGCAAGAUUAUGUGAUGG